rnacentral:rRNA from 1 species
UACGUAGGGUGCAAGCGUUAAUCGGAAUUACUGGGCGUAAAGCGUGCGCAGGCGGUUCUAUAAGGCAGAUGUGAAAGCCCCGGGCUCAACCUGGGAGGUGCGCUCGAUACUCGAGGGCUUGAGUGCGGGAGAGGAGAGUGGAAUUCCCAGUGUAGAGGUGGAAUUCGUAGAUAUUGGGAAGAACACCGGUGGCAAAGGCGGCUCUCUGGACCGUAACUGACGCUGAGGCGCGAAAGCGUGGGGAGCAAACAGG